UUAAAUAAAAAGACUAAGAUGAUAAUGGUUAUUAAAACAAUCCAAAAGUCACUGAGUUGUAUUUUAAUAAUCUUUGAAUUGUAAAUCUGGAUCUACCUAUUUCAUUUUACACUUGAUUUAGAAAACUACUUCAACUACUCUGACAAAAUCAUUUUGAUCCCAUAGAUAGCAUACUCUCUUUGCCAUUGUUCAAGAUUAUUUCACAAACAAGGGCUUCUACUUCUGAAAUUCAAAAAGUGUAAAGAUAGCUUACUCUCUUUGCCAUUGGUCAACACCAUUUCUCAAACAAGGAUUUCUAUCGCUAAACUUCAGACCGUAAAAAGGUAACAUCUUGUUCAGACUCAUUUUACAUUACGAGUCAAAAAUAUAACAAAAAGGUUUUUCUUAUGAUUUUAUUGGUAGCAUAAUUACACAAUCCCGCAAAAAGGGAAAACUGGUGCAUAAAGCAUCUAGCAUUAGCAGGGUCGGGGGAAGGGCCCGUGGCUUGAACGGCUUGAACCUGUGUCUUAUAGGUCAUAUGGGGAAAACUUUAACAUUGCUCGUAGGCGUAAUACAUAAAUCAGUUACUACUCUUGAUGAAUAAUGUACAGUGUGAUGCCUUUUGACCACUUCAUAAGCCUAUUACUUCAACUUGUCUCACAAAAAUAUGUCAAAAGGUACGACAAUGUUGAAGGUCUCUUAAUCAGAGGUCUCAGGGCGUGGUCGAAUGAAUGAGACUUUAGACUUUAGUUUGAGUUUGAUGAUUGAAUGCAAUGGUUCACCUAGCGGGUCGUGACAUGAUCCCUACCAGAGUUGUUAGGUCAAUAAUAUGAACUCGACCCUUUUGAUAAAAUUGUAGGAUAACAUCAUCUACUUUCACAAGCUAUCAAUCUCCACAAGUCUAAGUCAACUUUAAUAUGAAUAGAAGGGAGAAUGCCGCUCACAAAGAAGAGCGCUACCAAUAUCUCUUUUUUUUUUAUUGAGUCAAAGACCAGCGCUAAGUCCUGCCGAGCAAUCGCUUUCAAAACCCUUUUAUAAGGCAGGCUGCGGUGGGUCCCAUAGUUUUCUAUUUGAGAUAGGUGGUUUAAGUAAGUGUCCAAGGAUAAUGGCUUCCCAAAUGGAUAGAAGAGUUCCCCCCUAAUUUGGUGUCUUUUCUCAAAAAGAGAUGCGUCUUGCACUCUGUCUUUAGUUAUGUUUGGAAUUGAGCCUCGAGAAUACUGGAGGAAAUAUGCUCGAAUGAAUUCUGCCUUCAUUUCCCCCGUAUGGAGCACUGAGUUACUUACAUUACGGUCUUCGGCAGGCAGGCUGCACUCUAGGCUUCAAGGAUGGCUCGCUAGACCAGCAGCCAAACCAAGAAUGAAUGUGUAAUGAUGGUGAUUCCACACCAGGCUCAAU